CAUGUCCUUUUGAUGUUUAAUUUAAGGUCUAACCUGCCCAAUGAUUAUAAUUAAAUGGCCGCGGUAUUUUGACCGUGCAAAGGUAGCAUAAUCAUUAGUUUUUUAAUUGAAAGCUGGAAUGAAGGGUUGAAUGAGAAAAUUACUGUUUUUUUAAUAUUUAAUUAGAAUUUUAUUUUUAAGUUAAAAAGCUUAAAUUUAAUUUAUAGACGAGAAGACCCUUUAGAGUUUUAUAAAUUUAUAUAUAAAAUUUUUUAGUAAUAACUUAAUUUUAUAUAUUUUUUUUAUUUAAUUGGGGUGAUUGAAAAAUUUAAAUAACUUUUUUUUUUAUUUUACAUUUAUAUAUGAAUAAUUGAUCCAUUUUUUAUGAUUAUAAGAUUAAAUUACCUAAGGGAUAACAGCGUUAUUUUUUUUGAGAGUUCAAAUCGAAAAAAAAGUUUGCGACCUCGAUGUUGGAUUAAAAUUAAAUUAUGGUGUAGAGGCUAUAACUUUA
rnacentral:rRNA from 1 species